rnacentral:lncRNA from 1 species
AUGAAGAAGCAGCUCCUUUGGCUUUUUGCAGCUUUGUUUUCCAGCCUCCAACCCGCUCACCCCGUGGCCCCAGCAGGCAGCUUGGUCCCGGCCCGGGUGGAACGUUGGGUCCGUUCUGGUCUCCAGCUGCUGCAGUGGACCCAGCUGGACCGCUGCCUCCAAAUGUCCUCUAUGUCUGAGGCAGAUUGCAGGCAUCUGGUGCCUCUGCCGCUGUCGUCUGUGGCUGUCUACGUUACAGAACUACGAGCUGCUGCAGAUGCUGUCCUUUGUCUGCUCCUCUCCAAGAAACAGUUAGUUUUAAGGUCCUUUGGACAAAGUUGUUGCUAUCCUACCAGACUUUUCCAACAUUGUACUCGACUCCAAGUUACAACGAGGUUUUAA